rnacentral:lncRNA from 1 species
CCAGGUUCUUCUCAGAAAUUGUGUAAGCGAGUGUUGCAAGCGCUAGCAUGGUGCCUAGCAAUGAAUGCUUUGUUUUGACUAGGGGACUGUCUGUGUAAACAAAGCCAGAGAAAACAGCCUAAAGGAAGUGUAGUGUGACCUCACACUUGAUGUGAAUAUACACGUACAUACUGACAUCAACCCAAGACACACUGCGGCGAGGGAAAGCACUCCUGGUUACUAAUUCAGGGCACCGAUACCGUGCUGAUCUUACUAUGACUCUUUUCUCAUGAGAACCUGUGGAUCUGAAGGUGUAGCCAAAUUUGACAGAUAAUGCUAUUCUUGAAGAUAUGAGUUUGCCAAUAUCCUUUGCUGAUUCCCUAGAUAUGUAUUAUUUCAGGAUUGUACUGUUUGCACUCCCCUCGAUGGACAAACUUCCUGUGUGAGUGACUGGUGACCGGUCCAUAGACUCACUAUGAAAAAUCAUGGCUGAAAGUUUUCUUUGAGAUCCUGUUAUGCUUCUCUAAAGAUUUUUUUUUUUACCCUGUUUCCUCAGACGUUUCCUCUCCGAUUGCCAAAUACUGCAGUAACCGCUAGAAUGGAAUAGUUUUGCACUUCUGUAAUGGAAAAAAAAAGUGAGCAGUGGUGCAGCUGUUACAGAAGUGGUUACAUUCGCUCCACCGCUGAGCAACAUAGUGGAAGCAUGUCAGGUAAUUUCCACACCAGAUCAUUUUCAGAGCAGAAGGAAGGAAUUUGGCCAUGCCUGCAAAAGCAUCUGCAGAAAGUGGCCCUUUCAAACUCCACUGACAUUCAUACUUCCCUCUCAAAAUUCACACACCUGUUCAAAUAGCCAGCCUCAGUGGCCAUAAAGAGGAAUUGUUCACCGCCAUACACUUGCAAUGUCAUGUGCAGUAUUUCAGAAUACCCUAGAGAGAACUUAUUUUAGACUCAACAUAAACAAGAUUGUAAUGACUUGUUUGAAGUCUGACCAUCUGGCCAUACGCUGAGGCUGGUUUCAUGUCGUGAAAAAAAUGUCUGAUUUUCUGCCUGGCUAUUAAAU